GUCGACGACCAUACCACGUUGAAAGCACGACAUCUCGUCCGAUCUGUCAAGUUAAGCAACGUUGGGCCUGGUUAGUACUUGGAUCGGAGACGGCCUGGGAAUCCCAGGUGUUGUAGACAUAUUUUGYUUUU
rnacentral:rRNA from 13 species